AUUGAACGCUGGCGGCAUGCUUUACACAUGCAAGUCGAACGGCAGCGCGGGCUUCGGCCUGGCGGCGAGUGGCGAACGGGUGAGUAAUGCAUCGGAACGUGCCCAGUAGUGGGGGAUAGCCCGGCGAAAGCCGGAUUAAUACCGCAUACGACCUGAGGGUGAAAGCGGGGGACCGAAAGGCCUCGCGCUAUUGGAGCGGCCGAUGUCGGAUGAGCUAGUUGGUGGGGUAAAGGCUUACCAAGGCGGCGAUCCGUAGCUGGUCUGAGAGGACGACCAGCCACACUGGGACUGAGACACGGCCCAGACUCCUACGGGAGGCAGCAGUGGGGAAUUUUGGACAAUGGGGGCAACCCUGAUCCAGCCAUGCCGCGUGCGGGAAGAAGGCCUUCGGGUUGUAAACCGCUUUUGUUCGGGAAGAAAUCCUCUGGGCUAAUACCCCGGGGGGAUGACGGUACCGGAAGAAUAAGCACCGGCUAACUACGUG
rnacentral:rRNA from 1 species